AACACUGCCGAUAUUUUCAUCGAUUGUUACGUGGAAAUUGAUUUUCUUAUUGCGCAAAUUCAAAUUAUCGCAGUUAUUCGAAAAAUUUGUAUUCACAAAGUAGCGUUUUACAACAAGUGCAGCCGUUGCAAGUCAGGAUCAUCGUGUGUCCGUCCACGUUCGCUAGUGCAGGGAUUUUUACCACUGCAGCCUUUGGUGGGUGUGGUCAAGUGCAGCCUUUGCAUACUUCCAGCAUAGUACAACUUUUUCCUCACCGCAAGCUCAACAUCAUCGUACCGCAAGUGCAGGUGCAGCCCACCAUGGAUAUUAGUUGCGUUCGCGUAGCUGUUAAUUGUUCACGUAUAACCAAAACUUACAAGUUUUUGCGUUCGCGUACGCAAAAAACUUGCAAAGUAGGGGAAAUUGAGAGAGCAAAGAGACAUUUAAUUUUGAGGGGAAGCUGCUGGUUUCUUUUGGAAAAAUUUUUGCCAACAGCAAUUUGCCAACAGGAAAACAGCUGAU